rnacentral:rRNA from 1 species
UACGUAGGGACCAAGCGUUGUUCGGAUUUACUGGGCGUAAAGGGCGCGUAGGCGGCUUGACAAGUCACUUGUGAAAUCUCCCUGCUCAACGGGGAGGGUGCUGAGUAGACUGGUAAGCUAGAGGACGGUAGAGGGGGGUAGAAUUGCUGGUGUAGCGGUGAAAUGCGUAGAGAUCAGCAGGAAUACCCGUGGCGAAGGCGGCCCCCUGGGCCGUUUCUGACGCUGAGGCGCGAAGGCUAGGGGAGCGAACGGG